rnacentral:piRNA from 1 species
GCCGCCUAGAAUUGACUGGUUUGGACUAA